rnacentral:rRNA from 1 species
CCGCGGGAUUAGAGUUUGAUCCUGGCUCAGGAUGAACGCUGACAGAAUGCUUAACACAUGCAAGUCUUUGGCGAAGCUGUGCUUGCACAGCCUAGCCAAGGCGGACGGGUGAGUAACGCGUAAGGGACUUGCCCUGCAGUCAGGGAUAACAGACGGAAACGACUGAUAAAACCUGGUAAAGUCAGGCGGACUCAUGUCCAGCCUGAUGAAAAGGAAUGCUGCAGGAGAGCCUUGCGUCCUAUUAGCUUGUUGGUGGGGUAACGGCCCACCAAGGCGAUGAUAGGUAGCCGGCCUGAGAGGGUGGACGGCCACAAGGGGACUGAGAUACGGCCCUUACUCCUACGGGAGGCAGCAGUGGGGAAUAUUGGACAAUGGGGGCAACCCUGAUCCAGCAAUUCUGUGUGCACGAUGAAGGUCUUCGGAUUGUAAAGUGCUUUCAGCAGGGAAGAAAAAAAUGACGGUACCUGCAGAAGAAGCGACGGCUAAAUACGUGCCAGCAGCCGCGGUAAUACGUAUGUCGCGAGCGUUAUCCGGAAUUAUUGGGCAUAAAGGGCAUCUAGGCGGCCCUGUAAGUCUAGGGUGAAAACCUGCGGCUCAACCGCAGGCCUGCCCCGGAAACUACAGGGCUAGAGUGCUGGAGAGGUGGACGGAACUGCACGAGUAGAGGUGAAAUUCGUAGAUAUGUGCAGGAAUGCCGAUGAUGAAGAUAGUUCACUGGACGGCAACUGACGCUGAAGUGCGAAAGCUAGGGGAGCAAACAGGAUUAGAUACCCUGGUAGUCCUAGCUGUAAACGAUGAUUACUGGGUGUGGGCAUGAAGAGUGUCCGUGCCGAAGCUAAUGCGAUAAGUAAUCCGCCUGGGGAGUAC